CUAAUCUCAAGCUCUGCUUGGUAUUGGGCCCUGGCUGCUAAGCCUGCCCGAAAAACAGAGGCGGUGCGGCCGGAAUCACAGCGCAGUGACUUUUAUUCUCGCUGAUUUGAUUUCCGGACGACACCAGCCGGGCAACAACCAAAACUUUUUAAAU
rnacentral:misc_RNA from 1 species